GGCAGGGACUCGCUGGACUGUGAGGAGAAGCAGUGUGUCCUCACCUUUCCACCUUCCUCUGGCCACAGCUUUAGCUGCUGAAUGAUAACAAGGCUGCCUGCCGAUCUCAUAAGAGGGCAUCUUGGGCAAGGCAAGGAGAAAGGGCUUUGGAGUCUUGAGUUCAAAUCCCGGCUCCCCCAGCUGCUGUGCAACCGUGAUGUAUGACAGCCUCUCUGGGCCUCAGUGUUUGUAUCUGCAAGAUGAGGCUCUGACAUAGACCUGAUUAGGUUAUGGUGAGGAUUACACAAUCCCUGCUUGAAAGGCACCUGGCUUGUUCUGAGUAAACCCUGUGACUCCCUUUAAUUCCUGGUGGGUGGCUUGCUUGUGCCCUCAUGAGGUUCAGCACUUGGCAGUACCCUGUCACCUGUUCAUCAUUAGCAAUGACGGACGCAAUGCUUCCUCUGUGACAAAGCCUCAUCCGACAGAGCAGGACUGCAGGGCUUCUCCAGGGCUUGGGGAGGGGGACAAGGGCAGUGCGCACAGUUCCUUUUUGUUUGCUGAUGCCACACUAGGCACGUGAAAGGGCUGGGUCAGAGAACCCAGCUUGGCCCACGCUGUCUCGGUUGGUGGCCGUCCUCACCUUCCUCACCCUUCAGAUCCCGUAGGGAGCCCCUGCGGUGGUGCCAUGGACGGGAAGCAUCCCACCGUGCUUGUGGCUCACCUCGAGGUCCAGGUGUCACUGCAUGGCCUGAAAAGGACUGUCUCCGAGCAGAACAAGCUCAUGACCAAGAACAAAGAGGACAUCUUGACCGUGUAAGUAAUGAUGACCGCUCUGUCCCCAGCUCAUAGGGACCCUGAGGACUCCAGGUUGCCUCCCUAUGUUGGCUCCUGAUUCAAGCAGAUGGCAGGGGGGUGUGUCCCAAGGAGCUGGGUGCUGAUGUCAGGAGCCCAGCACCCUUGUGGAAGCCAAGAACGACACUGAGGGGGCAAGAAGAGACUGUGAUGAGCUAAGUGAUGGUGUUGUCCCCAGCACGCAACAAGGGCUGGUGCGGCAACUGGCGACCUGAGAGGGAGGGCUGGUCCCAGCAGGGAGGUGUUCAUAGAAGGGAGAGAUUUUCGGUGAGGAGUGGCAGCACAGUCAUUCUCAACCCAGUGUGUCUUGGGAGAUGCCUAUGGGGUGGAAGUUGGAUGAUCAGGCUGUUAUUGGGUCAAUCUGAUUCAAGGAGAGGGAGGAGAGGUGACGUGGCCAGAAGGAGGGCAGGAGGGUGGACAGCAGAGAAUGCAGCCGGCCACCCGGGCCAUCCCCCUUGCCUCCACUCACUCAUCCUUUCCCACCCCUGGGCCGAGGAUGCGUCUCAUUAGGUAGUUUUCAGAUGGGUAAACUGAGGCAGGAGCCAUUCCAGGCCCAGAGAGGAGAGCCAGGAAGGCACGUGUUGUAAUCCCUGGGUUAGUUUUUCAUUCACACACAGGGGAACCUCUCCAGCCCUGCCACUCACUAGUUUUAAGAGGCUCAAGUGUUCUGAUUCCUGGCAGCAGCAACGUGGUAAUGCUUCUUUCUUGUUCCCUCCCUGAUCCCUUCUUCCCUCAUGCUUGAGGGCUUGGCCCCGCUUUUCUCCAUGUAUUUCCACCAGGGUGCCACACUGCCUGGAAUUGCAACCGCUGGGGCCUUGUCCAGUUUAUUAUCUCUCACCACAGGUGCAGGAAGGAGGCAGGGAGCAGGGCUGUGUCGCAGAGCAAGGCCAGGGCAUCCCACCCCACCAUGGCCGCCCAUCCCCAUGGCCUCCCUCAAGAUCAGGAAACUGCUCCACAUUGCAGUAACUAAGUGCACCAGGCGUGGCUGCUGGUGAGGGGUGGUCAGGCAGCACCUGUGGCCAGCCUAAAGGAAGGUCAAGGUUUGUGAAGGCAUCUGGUGCCUCCCCUGUUGAAAUUUCUUUUUCUCCUCCUUAUUAGUUGAAUCUUAAGAAUUGACAGUACCAUAAAACGUGAAACCUUUAUUUCUGCUUUUUAAAUGGAAAACCGGGCUGGGCACAGCGGCUCAUGCCUAUAAUCCCAGCACUUUGGGAGGCUGAGGUGGGCAGAUCGGCUGAGGUCAGGAGUUCAAGAUCAGCCUGGCCAACAUGGUGAAACCCCAUCUCUACUAAAAAUACAAAAAUUAGCCAGGCAUGGUGGCACAUGCCUGUAACCCCAGCUACUCAGGAGGCUGAGGCAGGAGAAUCGCUUAAACCCAGGAGGCGGAGGUUGCAGUGAGACGAGAUUGCGCCAUUGCACUCCAGCCUGGGUGGCAGAGUGAGACUCCACCUCAAAAAAAAGAAAAAAGGAAAACCAAGCAAAAGUCACUGUCAGGGGACCUCCCACCCACCAUACAGGGGAACACUCGGCAGAGCCAGAGGCCUGGGCCCAAGUCCUGCCACCAGCUGGCUGUGAAACUGUGGUACAGCACCUUGUGUCCUGCCACCAGCCGGCUGUGAAACUGGUACAGCACCUUGUCCUCAGGUCCUUGGUUUCCUCACUUGUAAAUUCAUGGUUCUCCAUGGCAUCUCUGGUCUUCAACAUUAUUUUGCAUAGAGUCUCAGAAGCUUUAGUGUGAGCGGAUGAUAUGGGCACGAAGCAAGGCACCCAGAAGUGGGGGCAACUACUCUGCUUUCUAAAAUGCAAGGGAACCGGAAAAUCCAGGAGCCGUGCCAAAUGAGAAGAGGAACAAAUGGAGGAACAUCCCAGUCAAGUGACAUUCCUAGUGACAUUCACCAGAACAGAGUCAAGCUUUGGAUCCCAUGUUCUGUGACUUCCUCUUCACCACGCUUCCUCCACACACGUAGCAGCUCAAGGGUUUCUGAUGAGUGGGGCAAGAACUUCGUUCUGGACAUGCCACCAGUCCUUCACCCAGCUUCUAGGAAGCACUGCAGUAGACUAUAACAGGGAACCCCCAAACAGCCCAUCUGGAAUGCACCUUCCCAAUAGCUGCUGCUGAAGGACCACACCCAGGAAUCGAUGUUAAUACCAUGAUUCUGCCUGGUAUUAAAGCAUUAAAGCUGGGCUCCUGGUGAGGCCAGUGCAAUCCAUUGGCUGGCCAGUGUCCACUGAACCUCUCCUUUCCGAAUCUGAGCAAGUGACCAAAGCUGUAUUUAGACUGGAGAACAGUUGCACGGGAAGGUCAUGAGGGGUUGGGAUAAUCAUCUGGGGACAUAAACAAGCUAGAAAGGCAGGGGAACAGGCCAAAUCUGCAGAAAGAGAUCCAGGUAAGAAACCACAUGGCCCCAGAGGAGGCAAAAAAAACAACUGGAAGCACAGCUGCCUCAACACCUUCCCAGAUCUAAUCUUGUUUCCUAUGAGGCCCCUUGUAUUUCCAUUGUGUGUCAGUGAGAUGUGCCUCUGCCUUUUCAUAACCCCCUUAG
rnacentral:lncRNA from 1 species